rnacentral:rRNA from 1 species
GAUGAGCGCUGGCGGCGUGCUUAACACAUGCAAGUCGAACGAAGAGGGUUAGAAUGAGAGCUUCGGCAGGAUUUCUUUCCAUCUUAGUGGCGGACGGGUGAGUAACGUGUGGGCAACCUGCCCUGUACUGGGGAAUAAUCGUUGGAAACGACUGCUAAUACCGCAUAAGCCCACAGGUCGGCAUCGACCAGAGGGAAAAGGAGCAAUCCGCUUUGAGAUGGCCUCGCGUCCGAUUAGCUAGUUGGUGAGGUAACGGCCCACCAAGGCGACGAUCGGUAGCCGGACUGAGAGGUUGAACGGCCACAUUGGGACUGAGACACGGCCCAG